rnacentral:rRNA from 1 species
CCUACGGGGGGCAGCAGUGAGGAAUAUUGGUCAAUGGGCGGGAGCCUGAACCAGCCAAGUCGCGUGAGGGAAGACGGUCCUAUGGAUUGUAAACCUCUUUAGGCGGGGAGCAAUGCCGGGCACGCGUGCCCGGAGGGAGAGUACCCGCAGAAUAAGCAUCGGCUAACUCCGUGCCAGCAGCCGCGGUAAUACGGAGGAUGCGAGCGUUAUCCGGAUUUAUUGGGUUUAAAGGGUGCGUAGGCGGAUUUUUAAGUCAGCGGUAAAAUGUCCGGGCUCAACCCGGGCCGGCCGUUGAAACUGGGGAGCUUGAGUGGGCGAGAAGUAUGCGGAAUGCGUGGUGUAGCGGUGAAAUGCAUAGAUAUCACGCAGAACUCCGAUUGCGAAGGCAGCAUACCGGCGCCCGACUGACGCUGAGGCACGAAAGUGUGGGGAUCGAACAGGAUUAGAUACCCCGGUAGUC